rnacentral:rRNA from 1 species
CCUACGGGCGGCAGCAGUAGGGAAUCUUUCACAAUGGGCGAAAGCCUGAUGGAGCAACGCCGCGUGCAGGAUGAAGGCCUUCGGGUUGUAAACUGCUUUUAUAAGCGAGAAAUAUGAUGGUAACUUAUGAAUAAGGAUCGGCUAACUACGUGCCAGCAGCCGCGGUCAUACGUAGGAUCCGAGCAUUAUCCGGAGUGACUGGGUGUAAAGAGUUGCGUAGGUGGCAUAAUAAGUAGCUAGUGAAAUCUGGUGGCUCAACCAUUCAGACUAUUAGCUAAACUGUUAAGCUCGAGACCGUUAGGGGUAACGGGAAUUUCUAGUGUAGGAGUGAAAUCCGUAGAUAUUAGAAGGAACACCAAUAGCGUAGGCAGGUUGCUGGGACGGUUCUGACACUAAGGCACGAAAGCGUAGGGAGCAAACGGGAUUAGAUACCCCAGUAGUC